AGCCCAAUAGCUAGCCUAAACAACCAAAAACAACAACCAAACAUUAAUAAACCCUAAAACACCCACUAAAGUAAACAAACCAUUUUUCCUCUUUAGUAUAGGAGAUAGAAAAAG
rnacentral:rRNA from 1 species